UCCGCCGACCUUGAGCAGCCGCAUCGUUACAUUAUUUACCCACAGGCCAAGUCUGUUCACAGAGUGACUCCAAGGAGCCUUGCCCGUGUUGACACCAGCGUUGGCCGGACCAUCGCAGGUUCCAGCCUCCAGCCAGGGUUACCAGGAGGAUAGGGACUGGUCCGCUUCCUCUCUUGCCCCUGCCUGCUGCUGCUCAUGCCUGAAGCUGAAGGAGAUACACAGAUAUGGAUACAGGACCAGGUCUUGCUAACCUUGGCGUCUCAUCUUUGCCCGUGAUCAUUGUGAAGGACUGAUCAUGAUAUUUGUGUUUCUGGAUCUCACUAUAUCAGAGCUGGACCCCAGGACUUCAUAGUCAAGUAAACCAAUAAAUCCCUUCUUUGCUUAAACUAAUUGAU
rnacentral:lncRNA from 1 species